rnacentral:rRNA from 1 species
CCUACGGGAGGCAGCAGUGGGGAAUAUUGCACAAUGGGGGGAACCCUGAUGCAGCAACGCCGCGUGGGUGAAGAAGUACUCCGGUAUGUAAAGCCCUGUCAGCAGGGAAGAAAAUGACGGUACCUGACCAAGAAGCCCCGGCUAACUACGUGCCAGCAGCCGCGGUAAUACGUAGGGGGCAAGCGUUAUCCGGAUUUACUGGGUGUAAAGGGAGCGUAGACGGCAAGGCAAGUCUGGAGUGAAAGACCGGGGCCCAACCACGGGACUGCUUUGGAAACUGUGUUGCUGGAGUGCAGGAGGGGUAAGCGGAAUUCCGAGUGUAGCGGUGAAAUGCGUAGAUAUUAGGAGGAACACCAGUGGCGAAGGCGGCUUACUGGACUGUAACUGACGUUGAGGCUCGAAGGCGUGGGGAGCAAACAGGAUUAGAUACCCGUGUAGUC